GACGAACGCUGGCGGCGUGCUUAACACAUGCAAGUCGAACGGAAAGGCUCCAGCUUGCUGGAGUACUCGAGUGGCGAACGGGUGAGUAACACGUGGGUGAUCUGCCCUGCACUUCGGGAUAAGCCUGGGAAACUGGGUCUAAUACCGGAUAGGACCGCACUUUGGUGUGUGUGGUGGAAAGGUUUUUCUGGUGUGGGAUGAGUUCGCGGCCUAUCAGUUUGUUGGUGGGGUAAUGGCCUACCAAGACGGCGACGGGUAGCCGGCCUGAGAGGGUGGACGGUCACAUUGGGACUGAGAUACGGCCCAGACUCCUACGGGAGGCAGCAGUGGGGAAUAUUGCACAAUGGGGGAAACCCUGAUGCAGCGACGCCGCGUGGGGGAUGAAGGCCUUCGGGUUGUAAACUCCUUUCGCUAGGGACGAAGCUUUUUGUGACGGUACCUGGAGAAGAAGCACCGGCUAACUACGUG
rnacentral:rRNA from 1 species